rnacentral:rRNA from 1 species
CCUAAUACAUGCAAGUCGAGCGAACAGAGAAGGAGCUUGCUCCUUNGACGUUAGCGGCGGACGGGUGAGUAACACGUGGGCAACCUACCUUAUAGUUUGGGAUAACUCCGGGAAACCGGGGCUAAUACCGAAUAAUCUGUUUCACCUCAUGGUGAAACACUGAAAGACGGUUUCGGCUGUCGCUAUAGGAUGGGCCCGCGGCGCAUUAGCUAGUUGGUGAGGUAACGGCUCACCAAGGCGACGAUGCGUAGCCGACCUGAGAGGGUGAUCGGCCACACUGGGACUGAGACACGGCCCAGACUCCUACGGGAGGCAGCAGUAGGGAAUCUUCCACAAUGGGCGAAAGCCUGAUGGAGCAACGCCGCGUGAGUGAAGAAGGAUUUCGGUUCGUAAAACUCUGUUGUAAGGGAAGAACAAGUACAGUAGUAACUGGCUGUACCUUGACGGUACCUUAUUAGAAAGCCACGGCUAACUACGUGCCAGCAGCCGCGGUAAUACGUAGGUGG